rnacentral:rRNA from 1 species
AUUGAACGCUGGCGGCAGGCUUAACACAUGCAAGUCGAGCGAGCGGCGGACGGGUGAGUAAUGUCUGGGAAACAGCCUGAUGGAGGGGGAUAACUACUGGAAACGGUCGCUAAUACCGCAUACCAUCAGAUGUGCCAAGAUGGGAUUAGCUUGUAGGUGGGGUAAUGGCUCCUCUGGGCGACGAUCACUAGCUGGUCUGAGAGGGUGAUCAGCAACACUGGGACUGAGACACGGCCCAGACUCCUCAGGGAGGCAGCAGUAGGGAAUAGUGCGCAAUGGACGCAAGCCUGAUGCAGCCAUGCCGCGUGUAGGAAGAAGGCCUUCGGGUUGUAAAGUACUUUCAGUCGGGAGGCGUUACCGACAGAAGAAGCACCGGCUAACUCCGUGCCAGCAGCCGCGGUAAUAC